rnacentral:rRNA from 1 species
GAUGAACGCUAGCGGCAGGCUUAAUACAUGCAAGUCGAGGGACAGCACAGGUAGCAAUACUGGGUGGUAACCGGCAAACGGGUGCGGAACACGUACACAACCUUCCUUUAAGUGGGGGAUAGCCCAGAGAAAUUUGGAUUAAUACCCCGUAAUAUAGUUGAAUGGCAUCAUUUGAUUAUUAUAGCUACGGCGCUUAAUGAUGGGUGUGCGGCUGAUUAGAUAGUUGGCGGGGUAACGGCCCACCAAGUCUACGAUCAGUAGCUGAUGUGAGGGCAUGAUCAGCCACACGGGCACUGAGACACGGGCCCGACUCCUACGGGAGGCAGCAGUAAGGAAUAUUGGUCAAUGGACGCAAGUCUGAACCAGCCAUGCCGCGUGAAGGAUUAAGGUCCUCUGGAUUGUAAACUUCUUUUAUUUGGGACGAAAAAGGGCCUUUCUAGGUCAACUGACGGUACCAGAUGAAUAAGCACCAGCUAACUCCGUGCCAGCCGCCGCCGUAAGAC